rnacentral:rRNA from 1 species
UACGUAGGUGGCGAGCGUUAUCCGGAAUUAUUGGGCGUAAAGAGCGCGCAGGUGGUUGAUUAAGUCUGAUGUGAAAGCCCACGGCUUAACCGUGGAGGGUCAUUGGAAACUGGUCGACUUGAGUGCAGAAGAGGGAAGUGGAAUUCCAUGUGUAGCGGUGAAAUGCGUAGAGAUAUGGAGGAACACCAGUGGCGAGGCGGCUUCCUGGUCUGUAACUGACACUGAGGCGCGGAAGCGUGGGGAGCAAACAGGAUUAGAUACCCGU